rnacentral:rRNA from 1 species
GACGAACGCUGGCGGCGUGCUUAACACAUGCAAGUCGAACGAGACGGAUUGGGAGCUUGCUCCUGACAAGUCGAGUGGCAAACGGGUGAGUAACGCGUAGACAACCUGCCGCAAAGAUGGGGACAACAGCCCGAAAGGGCUGCUAAUACCGAAUGUUGCGCCCCUCCCGCAUGGGAGGGGGGCCAAAGAUGGCCUCUGCCUGCAAGCCAUCGCUUUGCGAUGGGUCUGCGCCUGAUUAGCUGGUUGGCGGGGCAACGGCCCACCAAGGCGACGAUCAGUAGCCGGUCUGAGAGGAUGGACGGCCACAUUGGGACUGAGACACGGCCCAGACUCCUACGGGAGGCAGCAGUGGGGAAUCUUCCGCAAUGGGCGAAAGCCUGACGGAGCAACGCCGCGUGGGUGAAGAAGGUCUUCGGAUCGUAAAGCCCUGUUGUCCGGGACGAACGCCCCCGGCGCGAACAGCGCCGGGGG